ensembl:lncRNA
GUUCUGUCUGAACAGAGAAUUCAAACUGUCUGGAGGGGAAAAGGAGAAAACGCAGUUAAGCGACCUGUAGAAAUGGAGCAAAGGAGUUACGAGAGACUGCACAAGGAAUAAGUUAGAGCUUACUUGCCACACAUUUACUAGACGCUUGGGAGAGGUACUUAAGGCUGGAGAUUGAAGUGGGGACAACGUGGACCCCAGGUAGCGCAGAUAUUUUGGAGAAAGAAUCACCAACAACCAAAGUGAACUCACCAUGUACCAUGACCACAGAAGUUCCAAAACUUCAAAAGCCUGAAUCAAAUCAUACCUCACAAAAGAAAACAUCAGAAUCAAGUCUCACAACACCCAGGGCUUCCACUUCUACCAGUACUGUGGACUCACCAUCAGAAGAAGUCUCAAGAAAGAUAAACACAAAAUCGUCAUUUACCUUGACCACAGAUUCAAACAAGACUGAUACCACAGUGAAAGUCGAAGAGUCAUUAUGGAAUUUGGCAGCAGCUGUGACAAGAUAUGGAAUAGUUGUGGGCUUCAUCCUACUGGUACUGGGGCUUCACAUAUUCAAAAGGAGAACUGUUGAGGAGAACAUAAACUUGCAGCAGAUGAAAAAUGAAAAUUCUGACAUUUACCACGUGUACGGCACCAUCUCUGAGGAAACAGAUGCACCAGAUUCACAGGAUACGAUUUAGAGCCUGCUGGACGCACACUGAAACAUUUUUGGUGACGUUGUCCGUAAAGUGUAUUUAAAGGGAUUUAAUUAAUUUAAGGUGGGGAAAGUUUUACAGGUAGUAGAUGUAUUCUUGCAAAAAGUCUUGAACUUAAAUUGUUGUAGAUUCUUUUUUCUAAGGAUAAUUGGCGUGAUCAUGCAGUUUUCAGCUUUUGCAUUUUUAAUAAAUGUUUUUAGAUCUUCAUUAUUUUGUUUUAAGUAACUGUAAUUUGGAAGAUGACAGUCAUAACAUCUGAGUCAUUCCCAAACUUAGAACUAUGUAUACUGUUGCCAUAUAAUAAGACUGGCUUACUUUCAAAUUAUCCAACUUUUCCAAAAAUCCAACAAUUUCUCCUUUAUAGAAUUGCCUAAUAGACUAUAUGUAUCUAUUUUAAUGGUGUCAUUUGCAUUUCAGAUUGUGUUUUUCAACUGUUUUUAAGGUGGGAUGUAUUUGUUUUGUGUUAAUACAAACUAAAGGGGAAACAACAUAUUAAACAUGUAUCUACAAACUGUCAACUGACAACACAAAAAGUUCUUCCAAAAUCUGCCUGGAAAAGGUCAAAGGAUUUAACUUCAUGUCCUUUUCAGUUUUCUCUUGGUAAUAAAAAACAAAAUCCUGCUUUUUUUUAAGGUUAUGUUGACACAGUUUGAAGUAAAGGAUUUUGUCUAAAUAUUAAAAAAGCCAAUCUUGACUUCAAUCACAGGUCUCAGAAAUCGUGGAUUUGAAUGCCCAAAAAUGUAUCUUCCAUUUAAACUCUGUACUAUUGCCAUGUCACACUUUCAGGAAUGGAAAACCAUAUCCAGUGAAACAAAAAUAUUUGUUUGUUUGCAAACAAAAAUAAACCUACGAACUGUACUCAGUAA